rnacentral:lncRNA from 1 species
AUGUUUGACAAAUUGAAUUGCAUUUUUGCAUUUUUGAGGUAUUUGAAUAUCGCGCCACGGGAUUACACUGGCUGUUGAGUAGGUGGGACGCAAGCGUCCCACCUAGCCCAUAGAGGCUAAAGCAAAGAAUAAGCAAACACGUUUGGUGUUCUCCAAAAGACAUGUGGGAGACUCCCCAAAUGUAUGGAAGAAGGUACUCUGGUCAGAUGAGACUAAAAUUGAGCUUUUUGGCCAUCAAGGAAAACACUAUGUCUGGCGCAAACCAAACACCUCUCAUCACACCGAGAACACCGUCUCUCAUCAUGCUGUGGGGAUGUUUUUAAUUGGCAGGGACUGGGAAACUGGUCAGAAUUGAAGGAAUGAUGGAUGGUGCUAAAUACAGGGAAGUUCUUGAGGGAUACCUGUUUCAGUCUUCCAGAGAUUUGAGACUGGGACGGAGGUUCACCUUCCAGCAGGACAAUGACCAAGGCAUACUGCUAAAGCAACACUCGAAUGGUUUAAAGGGAAACAUUUAUAUCUCUUGGAAUGUUCUAGUCAAAGCCCAGACCUCAAUCCAAUUGAGAAUCUGUGGUAUGACUUAAAGAUUGCUGUACACCAGCGGAACCCAUCCAACUUGAAGGAGCUGGAGCAGUUGUGCCUUGAAGAAUGAGCAAAAAUCCCAGUGACUAGAUGUGCUAAGCUUAUAGUUAACGAGACAUACCCCAAGAGACUUGCAGCUGUAAUUGUUGCAAAAAGUGGGGUGAAUAGUUAUGCACGCUCAAGUUUUCUGUUUUUUUGUUUUAUUUCUUGCUUGUUUCACAUGACAAAAUAUUUUGCAUCUUCAAAGUGGUAGGCAUGUUGUGUAAAUCAAAUGAUACAAAACCCCCCAAAAACCCAUUUUAAUUCCAGAUUGUAAGGCAACAAAAUAGGAAAAAUGGGGUGAAUACUUUCGCAAGACACUGUAUAUCUACCACUCUCUCAUCUCUGCAAUCCUUCCUGCAUCUCUCCUACAGUAUCUCCUCUCUCUCCUCUCUUAUCUGUCCAUCCUCUUAUUCCUGUAUGUAGUGCCUUAAUAACUGCAGCCUCUUAUGUUAAAUUUUGAGAUAGCUUUAAAGAGCUGUAAUGUACAUUCACACAAAAUGCAUCCAUCAAUGACGGUUCUGGGCAUAACAAGAAAUUACAGGUUAAAUUAUUAUGAAUUCUGACAGCAGUGGUUAAGGUUAAAAUGUUUCUGUCUAUUUGUCCCUGCAUUGAUGCUGGCAAGUUGGUUAAAGUUGCAGAGGACAACUCUUCUCUGUGGUAGUAGAUCAUGUAGAGGGGGGUCCAGUUCUGUCUCCUCUUCUCUGUGGUAGUAGAUCAUGUAGAAGGUGUUUAGGUUGGUGCAUGUCAUUGACCAAUCUUACUGCUGCGUGUAGCGGUGGAACGGUCAUUGGGAUGUCUCUGUUUCCUGAAGCCUAGACUCUGAUAUGAGGGGCGGCAGGUAGCCUAGUGGUUAUAUUGUUGGACCAGUAUCCGAAAGGUUGCUUGAUCAAUUCCUGGAGCUGACAAGGUAAAAAUCUGUUGUUCUGAUCCUGAACAAGGCAAUUAACCCACUGUUCCUAGGCCGUCAAUGUAAAUAAGUAUUUGUUCUUAACUGAUUUGCCUAGUUAAAUAAAGGUUAAUAAAUAAAAAUAAAAAAAUAAUUGAGGGUUGUUCCCUGAAGCCAAGACUCCGAUAAAAUGAGACUUGUUCCCUGAAGACUCUACUGUAAUGAGGUCUGUUCCCUGAAGCCUAGACUCUGAUUUAAUGAGGUCUGUCCUCUGAAGCCUCUGAUGUAAUGAGGUCUGUUCUCUGAAGCCUAGACUCUGAUGUAAUGAGGUCUGUCCUCUGAAGCCUAGACUCUGAUGUAAUGAGGUCUGUCCUCUGAAGCCUAGACUCUGAUGUAAUGAGGUCUGUCCUCUGAAGCCUAGACUCUGAUGUAAUUAGGUCUGUUCUCCGAAGCCUAGACUCUGAUGUAAUGAGGUCUGUUCUCUGAAGCCUAGACUCUGAUGUAAUGAGGUCUGUCCUCUGAAGCCUAGACUCUGAUGUAAUGAGGUCUGUUCUCUGAAGCCUAGACUCUGAUGUAAUUAGGUCUGUUCUCUGAAGCCUAGACUCUGAUGUAAUGAGGUCUGUUCUCUGAAGCCUAGACUCUGAUGUAAUGAGGUCUGUCCUCUGAAGCCUAGACUCUGAUGUAAUGAGGUCUGUUCUCUGAAGCCUAGACUCUGAUGUAAUGAGGUCUGUUCUCUGAAGCCUAGACUCUGAUGUAAUGAGGUCUGUUCUCUAAAGCCUAGACUCUGAAGUAAUGAGGUCUGUCCUCUGAAGCCUAGACUCUGAUGUAAUGAGGUCUGUCCUCUGAAGCCUAGACACUGAUGUAAUGAGGUCUGUUCUCUGAAGCCUAGACUCUGAUGUAAUGAGGUCUGUUUCCUGAAGCCUAAACUCCGAUGUAAUGAGGUCUGUUCUCUGAAGCCUCUGAUGUAAUGAGGUCUGUUCUCUGAAGCCUAGACUCUGAUGUAAUGAGGUCUGUUCUCUGAAGCCUAGACUCUGAUGUAAUGAGGUCUAUCCUCUGAAGCCUAGACUCUGAUGUAAUGAGUUCUGUUCUCUGAAGCCUAGACUCUGAUGUAAUGAGGUCUUUUCUCUGAAGCCUAGACUCUGAUGUAAUGAGGUCUGUUCUCUGAUGCCUAGACUCUGAUGUAAUGAGGUCUGUUUCCUGAAGCCUAGACUCUGAUGUAAUGAGGUCUGUUCUCUGAAGCCUAGACUCUGAUGUAAUGAGGUCUGUUCUCUGAAGCCUAGACUCUGAUGUAAUGAGUUCUGUUCUCUGAAGCCUAGACUCUGAUGUAAUGAGGUCUGUUCUCUGAAGCCUAGACUCUGAUGUAAUGAGGUCUGUUCUCUGAAGCCUAGACUCUGAUGUAAUGAGGUCUGUCCUCUGAAGCCUAGACUCUGAUGUAAUGAGGUCUGUUCUCUGAAGCCUAGACUCCGUUGUAAUGAGGUCUGUUCUUUGAAGUCUAGACUAGCCUAGACUCUGAUGUAAUGAUUUUUUUCCCCCAGGUUUAUUUCCAUGAGGGGAAUAUCUGACCCUUGGAAUUCGCUCGUUUUUUUUUGUCUGUUUGUUUUCGGCUUUAUCCUCAAUAUAGACAUAUUGAGUCUAUCCUCGAUAUAGACAUAUUGAGUCUAUCCUCGAUAUAGACAUAUUGAGUCUAUCCUCGAU